rnacentral:rRNA from 1 species
GACGAACGCUGGCGGCGUGCUUAACACAUGCAAGUCGAGCGGUAAGGCCCUUUCGGGGGUACGACGAGCGGCGAACGGGUGAGUAACACGUGGGUGACCUGCCCUCAGCUCUGGGAUAAGCCUCGGGAAACCGGGGUCUAAUACUGGAUAUGACUCCAUGACGCAUGUUGUGGGGUGGAAAGCCUUGUGCGGCUGAGGAUGGGCCCGCGGCCUAUCAGCUUGUUGGUGGGGUGANGGCCUACCAAGGCGACGACGGGUAGCCGGCCUGAGAGGGCGACCGGCCACACUGGGACUGAGACACGGCCCAGACUCCUACGGGAGGCAGCAGUGGGGAAUCUUGCGCAAUGGGCGAAAGCCUGACGCAGCGACGCCGCGUGAGGGAUGACGGCCUGGUGUAA